UAGAGCACUGUUUCGGCUAGGGGGCCAUCCCGGCUUACCAACCCGAUGCAAACUGCGAAUACCGGAGAAUGUUAUCACGGGAGACACACGGCGGGUGCUAACGUCCGUCGUGAAGAGGGAAACAACCCAGACCGCCAGCUAAGGUCCCAAAGUCAUGGUUAAGUGGGAAACGAUGUGGGAAGGCCCAGACAGCCAGGAUGUUGGCUUAGAAGCAGCCAUCAUUUAAAGAAAGCGUAAUAGCUCACUGGUCGAGUCGGCCUGCGCGGAAGAUGUAACGGGGCUAAACCAUGCACCGAAGCUGCGGCAGCGACACUGUGUGUUGUUGGGUAGGGGAGCGUUCUGUAAGCCUGUGAAGGUGUGUCGUGAGGC
rnacentral:rRNA from 1 species